AGCAGUGAAAUGCGUAGAGAUGUGGAGGAAUACCGAUGGCGAAGGCAGCCCCCUGGGCCAAUACUGACGCUCAUGCAGGAAAGCGAGGGGAGCAAACAGGAUUAGAUAUCCUGGUAGUCCACGCCGUAAGCGAUGUCAACUAGUUGUUGGGGAUUCAUUUCCUUAGUAACGUAGCUUACGCGUGAAGUUGACCGCCUGGGGAGUACGGUCGCAAGAUUAAAACUCAAAGGAAUUGACGGGGCCCCGCACAAGCGGUGGAUGAUGUGGAUUAAUUCGAUGCAACGCGAAAACCCUUACCUACCCUUGACAUGGUCGGAAUCCUGCUGAGAGGCGGGAGUGCUCGAAAGAGAACCGGCGCACAGGUGGUGCAUGGCUGUCGUCAGCUCGUGUCGUGAGAUGUUGGGUUAAGUCCCGCAACGAGCGCAACCCUUGUCCUUAGUUGCUACGCAAGAGCACUAUAAGGAGACUCCCGGUGACAAACCGGAGGAAGGUGGGGAUGACGUCAAGUCCUCAUGGCCCUUAUGGGUAGGGCUUCACACGUCAUACAAUGGUGGGAACAGAGGGUUCCCAACCCGCGAGGGGGACCU
rnacentral:rRNA from 1 species